rnacentral:sRNA from 1 species
GGGCGAACAGAGGCAGGCAAGGACAGGCUGGGCAUUCUGCAGCUGAAGCCGGAGGAGCCGCUGACCAGUCUGGAUGGUUGGACCCAGGCGGGGCCAGCUGCCUUCUUGCGCCGCCGUUCUCACUGCAUCUUCCGCUCUGGCCAAAGCCACAUGGGAGGGUAUGGGAGGGAGAGACUCGGAGGAGGAGGAGGGAGUCGGGGCGAUGGCUCUCCUCACAGCGUGGCCCUCAGCAGCAGAGGCAGGUCAUCUUCCUGAGCAUUUGUGGCGCUCCUCUUAAAGAUAAUGUCCGAGUUUUCUUUACAUACCUGUAGCUGUUUUUACUUUUCUGUUUUUGAAGUCAGUUUGUGUCUUGACGUGUCCCUUGCAAUAUCCCUAUCGUUAUAUAUGCUGUGUGCCUUAUGAAAUGCUGGGAUCUGGAAAAUCCAACCAACCAACCCACCGGCUCCUCACCGUCUCCACCUCUGCCUUUGACUGACACCUCAAUCUGUCAAUCGGAACCGCCUACCAUGCGAUUGGUCGGAUGGCGUUUCGGGGGGCGGUGCAUGCAGAGAAGCCAACAGAGCAGUAAGCGCAGCAGCCGGAGUGUGGAAGAUGACAAGGAGGGUCACCUGGUGUGCCGGAUCGGCGAUUGGCUCCAAGAGCGAUAUGAGAUUGUGGGGAA